UGAGGAACAUGACUUUCGGCGGGGGAUAGCCGGCCCAACGGCCGGGUAAUACCGCGUACGACCUCUCGGGACAUCCCCGGUUGGUGAAAGCAGCAAUGCACCGAAAGAGUGCCUCGCGGCCUAUCAGCUAGUUGGUGGGGUAACGGCUCACCAAGGCGACGACGGGUAGCUGGUCUGAGAGGAUGGCCAGCCACAUUGGGACUGAGAUACCGGCCCAGACUCCUACGGGAGGCAG
rnacentral:rRNA from 1 species